rnacentral:piRNA from 2 species
UGAGCCUUGCUAGGAGCAGAAGACUU